AUUGAACGCUGGCGGCAGGCCUAACACAUGCAAGUCGAACGAGUGGCGGACGGGUGAGUAAUGACUGGGAAAGUGCGUGAUGGAGGGGGAUAACUACUGGAAACGGUAGCUAAUACCGCAUACCAUCGGAUGUGCCGAGAUGGGAUUAGCGAGUGGGUGGGGUAAAGGCUCACCAAGGCGACGAUCCCUAGCUGGUCUGAGAGGAUGACCAGCCACACUGGAACUGAGACACGGUCCAGACUCCUACGGGAGGCAGCAGUGGGGAAUAUUGCACAAUGGGCGAAAGCCUGAUCCAGCCAUGCCGCGUGUAUGAAGAAGGCCUUCGGGUUGUAAAGUACUUUCAGCAGGGAGGCGUUAUCCGCAGAAGAAGCACCGGCUAACUCCGUGCCAGCAGCCGCGGUAAUUC
rnacentral:rRNA from 1 species